rnacentral:rRNA from 1 species
UACGGGGGGAGCAAGCGUUGUUCGGAUUUACUGGGCGUAAAGGGCGCGUAGGCGGUCCCGUCAGUCCCUUGUGAAAUCCCCCGGCUCAACUGGGGAACUGCAAGGGAUACAGCGGGGCUUGAGUUCGGGAGAGGGAAGCGGAAUUCCGGGUGUAGCGGUGAAAUGCGUAGGUAUCCGGAGGAACACCGGUGGCGAAGGCGGCUUCCUGGACCGAUACUGACGCUGAGGCGCGAAAGCUAGGGGAGCAAACGGG